GCACUGGUGGUCUAGCAGGCAAGACACCGCUCUCGUAAGGCGGUGACGUGGGUUCGACCCCCACCCGGUGCU
rnacentral:tRNA from 1 species